UGGGGAAUUUUGGACAAUGGGCGCAAGCCUGAUCCAGCCAUGCCGCGUGUCUGAAGAAGGCCUUCGGGUUGUAAAGGACUUUUGUCAGGGAAGAAAAGGCUGUUGCUAAUACCGACAGUUGAUGACGGUACCUGAAGAAUAAGCACCGGCUAACUACGUGCCAGCAGCCGCGGUAAUACGUAGGGUGCGAGCGUUAAUCGGAAUUACUGGGCGUAAAGCGAGCGCAGACGGUUACUUAAGCAGGAUGUGAAAUCCCCGGGCUCAACCUGGGAACUGCGUUCUGAACUGGGUGACUAGAGUGUGUCAGAGGGAGGUAGAAUUCCACGUGUAGCAGUGAAAUGCGUAGAGAUGUGGAGGAAUACCGAUGGCGAAGGCAGCCUCCUGGGAUAACACUGACGUUCAUGCUCGAAAGCGUGGGUAGCAAACAGGAUUAGAUACCCUGGUAGUCCACGCCCUAAACGAUGUCAAUUAGCUGUUGGGCAACUUGAUUGCUUAGUAGCGUAGCUAACGCGUGAAAUUGACCGCCUGGGGAGUACGGUCGCAAGAUUA
rnacentral:rRNA from 1 species